UUUUAUGGAGAGUUUGAUCCUGGCUCAGAGUGAACGCUGGCGGCGUGCCUAAUACAUGCAAGUCGAACGAUGAAGCUUCUAGCUUGCUAGAAUGCUGAUUAGUGGCGCACGGGUGAGUAACGCAUAGGUUAUGUGCCUCUUAGUUUGGGAUAGCCAUUGGAAACGAUGAUUAAUACCAGAUACUCCCUACGGGGGAAAGAUUUAUCGCUAAGAGAUCAGCCUAUGUCCUAUCAGCUUGUUGGUAAGGUAAUGGCUUACCAAGGCUAUGACGGGUAUCCGGCCUGAGAGGGUGAACGGACACACUGGAACUGAGACACGGUCCAGACUCCUACGGGAGGCAGCAGUAGGGAAUAUUGCUCAAUGGGGGAAACCCUGAAGCAGCAACGCCGCGUGGAGGAUGAAGGUUUUAGGAUUGUAAACUCCUUUUGUUAGAGAAGAUAAUGACGGUAUCUAACGAAUAAGCACCGGCUAACUCCGUGCCAGCAGCCGCGGUAAUACGGAGGGUGCAAGCGUUACUCGGAAUCACUGGGCGUAAAGAGCGCGUAGGCGGGAUAGUCAGUCAGGUGUGAAAUCCUAUGGCUUAACCAUAGAACUGCAUUUGAAACUACUAUUCUAGAGUGUGGGAGAGGUAGGUGGAAUUCUUGGUGUAGGGGUAAAAUCCGUAGAGAUCAAGAGGAAUACUCAUUGCGAAGGCGACCUGCUGGAACAUUACUGACGCUGAUUGCGCGAAAGCGUGGGGAGCAAACAGGAUUAGAUACCCUGGUAGUCCACGCCCUAAACGAUGGAUGCUAGUUGUUGGAGGGCUUAGUCUCUCCAGUAAUGCAGCUAACGCAUUAAGCAUCCCGCCUGGGGAGUACGGUCGCAAGAUUAAAACUCAAAGGAAUAGACGGGGACCCGCACAAGCGGUGGAGCAUGUGGUUUAAUUCGAAGAUACACGAAGAACCUUACCUAGGCUUGACAUUGAGAGAAUCCGCUAGAAAUAGUGGAGUGUCUAGCUUGCUAGACCUUGAAAACAGGUGCUGCACGGCUGUCGUCAGCUCGUGUCGUGAGAUGUUGGGUUAAGUCCCGCAACGAGCGCAACCCCCUUUCUUAGUUGCUAACAGGUCAUGCUGAGAACUCUAAGGAUACUGCCUCCGUAAGGAGGAGGAAGGUGGGGACGACGUCAAGUCAUCAUGGCCCUUACGCCUAGGGCUACACACGUGCUACAAUGGGGUGCACAAAGAGAAGCAAUACUGCGAAGUGGAGCCAAUCUUCAAAACGCCUCUCAGUUCGGAUUGUAGGCUGCAACUCGCCUGCAUGAAGCUGGAAUCGCUAGUAAUCGCAAAUCAGCCAUGUUGCGGUGAAUACGUUCCCGGGUCUUGUACUCACCGCCCGUCACACCAUGGGAGUUGUGUUUGCCUUAAGUCAGGAUGCUAAACUAGCUACUGCCCACGGCACACACAGCGACUGGGGUGAAGUCGUAACAAGGUAACCGUAGGUGAACCUGCGGUUGGAUCACCUCCUUUCUAGA
rnacentral:rRNA from 1 species